AUAUAUGUGUGCUUCUCGGAGAAGACGUAGCUACUGGUGAUGGCUGAGAAGCAUGAGCAGCAUUACCUGCAGGGUGCCCGGCCCCGGGCAGCUCCUCGGCCCCCCGUGCUCCCCGCUCCUGCUUCGGGAAGGCACGGCCACAGGCACGGCACCCACGAGGCAGCACUCCCCGAGUCCGCUGUGCGUGCAGCAAGCAUCCUCAGGGAAUGGGAAGCUAGGAGAACAGGCCUGGGGCUUGGGGAAGGGCUCCUCGAGCAGGCGCUGCUCCCCGCUUGAGGUUGUCCAACGUUUCUGUACAAACGCAGCCAAGCAAGGCAAGAGAUCAAGGAAAUCCUCCUUAGAAAAGCACACACUUAUCUUCACUGCAUCUGAAAAACGAUUGCUUCCCUUCUUGAGAAGGAUUUAAGAAGUAAAAAUGUUUAAAAAUUGUUGAAAAUAUUCGGACACUGGUUGCGAAACAACUAUUUAAUCUACAACAGAGGUUUUUGUUGGAGGGGAACAACAGAGCUGAUGAUUUUCGAAAGAAUGCACCAAGUGUAUUUCCUUGGAAAACCCUCCUGGAAAGGCACACUACAUGCACUGAAAUGUAAUUCAUGUGAAUUGUAAUGCACUGAAAAUGUACUACAGAUAUUAAAACAUUUUAUAAAAGUGUGGGUAAAAAGCAUAAACCACUCCAUGUACGUACUCAUCUUCUAAUACAUCAAAUCGCAGUCUGGGCUAUGUCAGACCAGCUCAGACCUGUGGAUUAUCUGAUCAAUAGCAAACAAGAAUGAGAAUAUUUUCAGUUCACUGGAAAAAAGUCAAGGAACGGAAAAAUAAUAACGGAAGCAGUGAUUCAAUCAGAAGGAGCUGUAGUAGGUGGCACAAAGCUAUAGGACAAAUGUCAAGCACACAAACAAAUAGCACUGCUGAAGUGAAAAAGCAUGAGUUAUCAGAGUGUCUUUUAGAAGGGCUCCAUGGGUCAACCUCCUCCUCAAGCAGCGGUAUUGUUGAAAAUAAAAAAUUAUUCAAGGAAGUAAAAUCA
rnacentral:lncRNA from 1 species